rnacentral:rRNA from 1 species
GGCAUGCCUGUUUGAGUGUCAUAA